GUUCCGACUGAUUUGGACAUUAUACGGCCGUCGAGUACGGUUAACGAAUGGAUUUCGCCAAAACGGCUACUGUCACCGUCAAAGGAAUCCAGCUUUAUCUUUCCACAAGUGGAGACACCAAUAGUUGUACACACAUCUCCAGAUGGAGCAGGAAAUGUCCCAGGCAGUCCGUCCACUCCGCCAACACAUCUGAAAAGGGUCCUUGAGAAAC